ACAACAGAUCAUCAAAAGUGCACUUUUUGCAAACAUUUCAGCUUUGUUUCAACUGUGUUAGUAGCUACAAUACACAACAUCAUGACGGUUUCAUCUAUAAACAUUUCCUUCACAGAAACUGCCAGUCAUAAAUCUCUUUUAAGUCAUAAGUCACUUUUAACUCAUUUGCAUCUCUUCUUGUUUACUUUAAUACAUUUAUCUAUUAAUGAAAUCCACUGCGAUCUCUAAACUCUGGCCAGUUGAUAAUACCUAGCAUAUCUAAAUCGACUGCAGGCGGGAGAUCCUUUUCUAUUUAGCACUAAAACUCUGGAACAAUCUUCCUGACAUUGUCCGGGAAGCAGACACACUCUGUCACUCUAUCUCUCUCUCUAAUCUAGCAGACACAUUACACACUAUAGACUUCCUUAACUCAGAAUUAGACUGUCAUGGUGCUGAUAUCCUUCUCUGCCUCCCUCUCCUGGUCAGACUCGUUAUUACAUCCUCUAACACUUCCACUUUCACAUUCAAGGCUUUUAUUGCUGACUGAGAAGUCUCACAAGUUUUUUAGGUGAAAAAAUACGGUAAGUUGUUGAGUAAGGGCAGUUCAAUGACAGAUCUGAGGCCUCAACCUUCAGCGCUUUGUUUCUGGUUUAGUUUUGCCCAAGUUUGACGUGACCGUAAUGGGACUGAAAGUUGAGUCUUGUGCCAAGUGAGUGAUGCUUUAUUUUCUUGUCUUGUGGUUGGUCAGUUCUUUAUCUUGUUCUGAUGUUUCCCAGAUGUACAUAUGGCCAACCUGUACCUGGUCAAGCCUCAGUGGAAGUGUGCCGUGAUCCAUUUCCAUCCAGUCUGCUUCAUCAUGACCAGACAGUGCCUGACUCAAACCGCAGAUGAAUGCCACGGGCUGUGCCUCUCUUACUGUAGAUGCGUCAGUGUUUUUCAACACCAAAUUUGAAGACCAAAUGCAAGACUCAUUUCUUGUAAAUGUGAAUGUUACUGAGGAGGGAACAGAUGUAAUGGUGUCAAAAUCUGCAAUGGUGUCCAUUACGUUUGUAGUCGGCAAAGUCACAUUUGUGGACCUCCUGGUUCCUUAUUUUGAACCUGGAUCAAUGCUUAAUCGAAAGACAAACAAAAUGUCAUCCCUUAUCGCAGAAGCCUUUAAAUUGGUUCCCUUUCCUAACCUUGAUCAUUCCUAACAGAUAUCUGUGACUUGUUUUGAUAAGACUCCAAUUGCAAACAAAGCUGUAUAUCUCUUGGAGGGGAGCAAUUUGUUGGAGAGGCUGGUAGCUACAGCGCUGACAUGAUCUAUAUGGUCUUAUCUAAAGGAGUGAUCAUCCUCCAUGGAUUUCAGACGGUUAAAGCAAAGGCUGGUGAUUCGGUCGCAAGCGGCUCCGUGACGUUCCAGUUGUCUGUCAGCGUCGAUAUGGCUCCAGCAGUGCAGAUUCAGGUCUACGGUGUUCCUCCCAGUGAGAAUGUAGUUGCUUCUAGUGUGCCGUUUGACACCGAUAUGUGUUUCCAGAACCAGGUACUGUAUGAUGUGGCUAUUUUUCAAUUUGGGAAUGUUGGUGUGUGUCCUGCAGUGUGUUGGUCCGUGUUCCAGGUGUCUCUGCAGUUUUCUCCAGGGAAACGUUCGGAUGGAUCUCUGUUGCCUCAGUGCUGUAGAUCAGAGCCUACGGAUCAUGGUGCCAGGAAGACAUCUGAAAGGGUAUCUGUGUAAAAAUAAACUGUAAAAAAAAAACCCUACUGUUUAAAAUGUAGUCUUUUGUGUUGUAAUGGUCUAUACUAGCUUUUUUCCCCUGUUUUUUGUUGUUUUAAAAAAACUAGCUGUUACUGAAUGUGAACUUUUAUUUGACGGGCGGAAGUAAGUCCGUCCGGAGACCCAGCCCAUGUUUGUUUUCUUCUACAAACAAACUUGCAUUAUUUUCAUGUUAUCACUGUGAAGCUGCUUUGAUACAAUCUGUAUUGUAAAUGGCGCAGUAUAAAUAAA